UACGUAGGGUGCAAGCGUUGUCCGGAAUUAUUGGGCGUAAAGAGCUCGUAGGCGGUUUGUUGCGUCGGCUGUGAAAUCCCGAGGCUCAACCUCGGGUCUGCAGUCGAUACGAGCAAACUAGAGUGUUGCAGGGGAGACUGGAAUUCCUGGUGUAGCGGUGAAAUGCGCAGAUAUCAGGAGGAACACCGGUGGCGAAGGCGGGUCUCUGGGCCACUACUGACGCUGAGGUGCGAAAGCGUGGGGAGCAAACAGG
rnacentral:rRNA from 1 species